CAAAUAAGUUAGUAUGGAUUUUAUAUAAUAGAGACAUUGUGUUAAGGAUUUUAACCUUUGAAAUAAAGAGAAACCCAUUUUUAAUUACAAAUUAUGUCUCCUCACUCAUGCUACCUACUCUAGAUGCUAGAACAUCUCUCUCUCCUUUUCAUAACUUCUCAAUCAAGUGCCAAAGUGUAUUUUUUCCAUAGAUCAAUUAUUCUCUUCAAGAUUUCAGUUUAAUGACCCAAGUGGUUAAGAAUUGGGAGAAACCUUAAAACCAAAAUAAAAACCCAAACAAUAAUUUUCUCUCUCCUCUGAUUUUAUACCCCGUACUGUGCAUGCUCAAUUUCUGCAUUUUGGAGUUGGAAUUUGACCAAACUUAUUGAAUCAAAGUUGUAGAUCUUGAAAAGUUAUUGAACUUAGACCCAAAAAUCACUUGAUUUGGAGUUCGGAGCUAUGAGUUAUGGUCUUUGCAAAUUUGGUGUUGCUACCUCCAUUUCUCUCUCCUCUGUUUUAUUCCGACAAUCUGUUUCCCCAAUUAUCUACAACAUGCAAUCCCAUUUUGCUCUUUGUUGCUGAAUCAAAGUUGUAGAUCACUUCGAGCUAAUGAAUUUGGGCACAAAAAUCACUUGAUUUGGAGUUCAGAGCUAUGAGUUAUGGUCUUUGUAAGUUUGGUGUUCCUAUCUUCAUUUCUCUCUCCUCUGUUUUUAUUCCGACAAUCUGUUGCCCUAAUUAUCUACAACAUGCAAUCCAAUUCUGCUCUUUGUUUCUGAAUCAAAGUUGUAGAUCACUUUGAGCUAAUGAAUUUGGGCACAAAAAUCACUUGAUUUGGAGUUCGGAGCUAUGAGUUAUGGUCUUUGUGAGUUUGGUGUUCCUAUCUUCUUUUCUCUCUCCUCUCUUUUUAUUCCGACAAUCUGUUUCCUCAAUUAUCUAUAACAUGCAAUCCAAUUUUGCUCUUUGUUUCUGAAUCAAAGUUCUAGAUCACCUCGAGAUAAUGAAUUUGGGCACAAAAAUCUCUCAAUUCGGAGUUCGGAACUAGGAGUUACGCCUCACACAAGUUCAGCACUGCUGUUGUACCUUGUGUUGUGCUGCUGUCGUGUGGUUGGCUUGUUUGCCCAUGUUGUCAUUGCUAACUUGUUGCCUUGUUGCUGCCAUUGUUGGUAGUCCUUUCCAUAUGAAGGUAUAAGCUAAUUUUUCUUAAUUCCUCAUCUCCUUUGAUUCCAAUUCAAGUGUGGUACAAUUGAAUUUUAUAAUUUGAUUUUAGAAACAAACUUGGUUCUCAAUUUUGUUAUUGAUUAGCAAAUAUAGUUAUGAUAAGAGUUGUUAAGCUUAAAUAUUGAAUAUUUUAUUUUUCUUAUUGAAUUGAAGCUUCUAAUAUGAAGUAAGCCUCUUAAGUUUAUAAAAACUGAUUUUUAUAAAUUAUGUUGUUUGAUAAUACUCUCUGAAAUCAGAAUGAUGUUAAUUAGAGAUAGAAUUGAUGUUGUGAGUUGGAUUAGUAGAAUGUGUCGUAUAUAAGGGUUGUAGUGGUUAGUUCAUGGAAGAGCUUAGAAAGUAUGAGUAAUUCAAUUUGUUUAUCUAAAUUGUUGUGAGGAUGGUUAAUGAUUGUUGUUUUUGUUUUGAGGUCGUUGUUGGAGUAUGUAUAUGGAGAUAAAUUAUGAAGUUCGAGCUAUAGUGGUUAUCCAGAAUGUCGAGUUAUUGGGAAUUGUUUCAAGGGUUCAUUGUUAGUGAUUUGCAGGGUUGAUGUCGAGGUCGUGGAAUAUGAUUAUUGAUCAAGAAGAAGAGUUUUAUGUUAUGAAAUGGUGGGCUGAGGUUAAAGUUAGAUGUUUUGUUUCAAAGUAUUCGUAAUCUGUUAUUUGAUUUUCAAGUUGUUAUAUUGUGGGCCCCUGACCCACAGAUCCGGGAUCGUUUUUAUAGGUUUUGUUUCCGCUGUAAAUAAAUGCAAAUUCGAGGUUUGUUAAAUGUUGAUUGUGUUUUUUGUAUCUUAAGUGUGAUUAGUUAGCAGCUCGGAAGUGCGGGCUGUUACAGGUGUGAAUAAAUGUAAAUUCGAGGUUUGUUAAGUGUUGAUUGUGUUUUGUGUA